rnacentral:rRNA from 1 species
UACGGAGGAUGCGAGCGUUAUCCGGAUUUAUUGGGUUUAAAGGGUGCGUAGGCGGACUGUCAAGUCAGCGGUAAAAUUGAGAGGCUCAACCUCUUCCCGCCGUUGAAACUUGUGGUCUUGAGUGGAUGAGAAGUACGCGGAAUGCGUGGUGUAGCGGUGAAAUGCAUAGAUAUCACGCAGAACUCCGAUUGCGAAGGCAGCGUACCGGCAUCCAACUGACGCUGAGGCACGAAAGCGUGGGGAUCAAACAGG